rnacentral:misc_RNA from 1 species
GGCUUUGCCAAUGUCUUUGAGACCAGGUAUGGCUCUCAAAAGCAACGUAUUCUGUGAAGGGCAAUUAAUACAUGAUUUGAACAUCUAAGCAGCAGGAGGAAAAAGGGGAAGAAGAAUGACCUGUCUGUCAAGAGGAUGCCUAAAAUCGUCUGCAUCAAGAUCACGAAACGGGAGGGAGGCUGCUCGACAUACAAAAAGGCUCAAUCUUUGCUUCCGAAAUCCAGUAAUCGGAGGUUUUAUCUUACAGCUGAGAACCGAUGGAGAGAAGCAGAGUGAAGCCAUUGAACAAGAAGAUGAAGAGACUUGUUUUGUUGCUCACCACACACCUACUCUACUCUUGCUCACACCAAUUUUUUCUUAAUAUCUCAAUUCAUUUGUUU